AGAGAUUUAAGUUAAUCAAACUAAAAACCUUCAAAGUUUUUAAUGGGGGUGAAAAUCUCCUAGUCUCUA
rnacentral:tRNA from 1 species